CUCUAAUAUUAUUUUAGAUGUAAAAGAUUCAAGGAUCUUUACCAAUAAAGUAUUAGAUAUUAAAGAAGUUUAUUCCUUCCUGAAAAGGUAAAAAUGAAUAUAAUUUUAGUAUAACUCCGGUAGGAAACGAAAGAAAUACUAAAAU
rnacentral:ncRNA from 12 species